AUAAGCCCGGGAAACUGGGUCUAAUACCGGAUAUGACACCUCCUCGCAUGGGGUGGGUGUGGAAAGUUUUUCGGUUGGGGAUGGACUCGCGGCCUAUCAGCUUGUUGGUGGGGUAAUGGCCUACCAAGGCGACGACGGGUAGCCGGCCUGAGAGGGCGACCGGCCACACUGGGACUGAGACACGGCCCAGACUCCUACGGGAGGCAGCAGUGGGGAAUAUUGCGCAAUGGGCGAAAGCCUGACGCAGCGACGCCGCGUGGGGGAUGACGGCCUUCGGGUUGUAAACCUCUUUCAGCAGGGACGAAGUUGACGUGUACCUGCAGAAGAAGCGCCGGCUAACUACGUGCCAGCAGCCGCGGUAAUACGUAGGGCGCAAGCGUUGUCCGGAAUUAUUGGGCGUAAAGAGCUCGUAGGUGGCUUGUCACGUCGGGUGUGAAAGCUUGGGGCUUAACUCCAGGUCUGCAUUCGAUACGGGCUGGCUAGAGGUAGGUAGGGGAGAACGGAAUUCCUGGUGUAGCGGUGAAAUGCGCAGAUAUCAGGAGGAACACCGGUGGCGAAGGCGGUUCUCUGGGCCUUACCUGACGCUGAGGAGCGAAAGCGUGGGGAGCGAACGGGAUUAGAUACCCUGGUAGUCCACGCUGUAAACGUUGGGCGCUAGGUGUGGGGACCUUCCACGGUUUCCGCGCCGUAGCUAACGCAUUAAGCGCCCCGCCUGGGGAGUACGGCCGCAAGGCUAAAACUCAAAGGAAUUGACGGGCCCGCACAAGCGGCGGAGCAUGUUGCUUAAUUCGACGCAACGCGAAGAACCUUACCAAGGCUUGACAUUGCCCGGAAACACUCAGAGAUGGGUGCCUCUUCGGAUCGGGUGACAGGUGGUGCAUGGCUGUCGUCAGCUCGUGUCGUGAGAUGUUGGGUUAAGUCCCGCAACGAGCGCAACCCUUGUUCAAUGUUGCCAGCAACAUCCUUCGGGGUGGUUGGGGACUCAUUGGAGACUGCCGGGGUCAACUCGGAGGAAGGUGGGGAUGACGUCAAGUCAUCAUGCCCCUUAUGUCUUGGGCUGCAAACAUGCUACAAUGGCCGGUACAGAGGGCUGCGAUACCGCAAGGUGGAGCGAAUCCCUAAAAGCCGGUCUCAGUUCGGAUUGGGGUCUGCAACUCGACCCCAUGAAGUCGGAGUCGCUAGUAAUCGCAGAUCAGCAACGCUGCGGUGAAUACGUUCCCGGGCCUUGUACACACCGCCCGUCACGUCACGAAAGUCGGCAACACCCGAAGCCCGUGGCCCAACCAGCUUGCUGGGGGGAGCGGUCGAAGGUGGGGCUGGCGAUUGGGACGAAGUCGGAACAAGGUA
rnacentral:rRNA from 1 species